UUAUUGCUGGUUUUGGAAUUCCAAUGGAUCAUAAUGGAUCAUACUGGUUCGCUAUUUACUUAUUCUGUUCAGGAUCACCAUCUAUUACGCCCACGUGGAGCGAGUACGACAGCCAAUGGGCGAUCAUGUUAAAGGUUGGUGAGGGUGGCUCUCCUGCAAUCCCAGAAUCCCUUAGUGAUGAAGGAAGGGAAUUUUUGACACGUUGUUUCGUGCACGACCCUCACGAAAGAUGGACCGCAAGACAGCUUCAAAAUCUCACUUUUCUUAAAGUAUGAUUUAAUGUGCAUUUCGAGGAACAAAUAUUAAUGGUUUUGGAGUUCCAAUGGAUCAUAAUGGUUCGCCAUUUACUUAUUCUGUUCAGGAUCACCAUCUAUUACGACCUACAGUAAUUCAAUUCCAUUUCCAGCAAGCUAUGCGACUGAUCUGGUAUGGAAGACAAAGAACUGAUUUACAUAUUUCAUUUUGGCAAUGG